CCAACCCCAAGCGUCUGGUCACCAGCUCCUCCAAGCUUCGACUUUGUGAGCUGUAAAAGGUAAGGAGAUGGUCACGUCUCGCUCUCACUGUCUCACAUGCAUGGUCAUGGAUCCCGAUCUCGACGCGCCGCCAUCAUGGUGGUUCAUGAUCCUCGUCGGUCGUCGCUUUUCAUACGCCCGCAGCCGUAGGCUGUUUAUCAUUCCCCGUCUCUGCUCCUUUGGUCGGCUACGCUGAUGCGGUGACGCUGGCAUUGCAUUGUGGGUGUAGGAAUCAUGUGCGCGCCAUCAUCCUCCAACCGCCAUUGCUUCCUUUGGCAGAAGCUAGUGGUGACUACUAUAGCGUCUAGUGCUUGCUCUCGAUGAACCAGCUGCAGGGGCCAGGGCAUCUUGCUAAUCUCUGUGCUCGUUGUGAUAAGUGCUGGACAGUGUCAUUGCUGCCUCCAGUCGUGGUGGCAACAUUGAUUGUCUUUGUUUGAUGGCCGCCUGCUAAUGCGCUUUUUUUGGACCAUCACCCAGAAAUGAGGGUACAGCGCAUCACAAGAAGAAGAAGUGCAUGCCAGUCCUGCACUGCACGUCUGCACCGGCCAGCAUGAAGACUGCUCGGAAUUGAUGGAUCGCUGCCAACGCUACACCAGCGUCGUGCAGUUUUCCGCUGCCGUACAAUAAAUCGUGUCCGGAUCCAACGGCCGGCCUCGCGCAACGCAGUAAUAGCGUGCGCGUAUAUAUACACGGGACAGCAUGCAGUACUGAAGAUGUAACGGUCACCGGACCUAAUAUGUGUAUCACCUCGCGUCGCGUCGUACACCGUGAUGUCAAUCAAUGGCGAUGCACUCCUAUCACAC
rnacentral:lncRNA from 1 species